UCUAAAAUCUCUCAAAAUAGUUUUACAAUUAGAAAUAGUGAGUCCAAAUUAAUUAUUUUGGAGAUAAGUGUGCAUUAGGGCAUGCACUACUUGAAGAUUAUCCCUCUCUAGCACAAUGUUAAAAAAAUCAUAAUCUAAUAUUAAUUUGAGUGCAAGGAAACACAUCUACCUCCUUCGCCGAUGCCAUGCAUUUUUUGGAGGAACCAUGUUGCUGCAAUCAUGAUGUUACCAUCAUCACUGCGAACUAUUGUCGUUGCUCUGAUGCAGGUGCCACGGAAGAGAGUUUGUUGGCGUUGUUGGGCAGCGGCGUAAUCCGUGACCAUACGCACCACAUUGCGCACCAAAUGCAUCGAAUCGAAGAGUGUGCUGUUUGGAAAGUAAAAGAAGAGAGAUACCAAAAUUGACGAGACCAUUCACAGUCUUUAAAAAUGUGAAUUUCAGUUUCCUCUUCAAGAUAACAUUUGGGACAUAGGGUGGAAUUAUUAAUACCUCUUUUUUGUAGAAUUUUCUUAGUGGGUAGACCUUAUAAGAGUAAUCGUCAAACAAAAGUAAGUGUGUGUCUUGGAGUUUGUAUCUUCCAUAACAUUUUUCAUUGGAACUGAGGUCUAAAAUGGUGUUCACUAGAUUCUGCAGCAUGUUGCAGCUGUUAUCGUACGUAUAAGAUGAUAAUAGUAUUUUUUACUAUAUAUAGUUUGGUGUUUGUGU